GGAUGAACGCUGGCGGCGUGCUUAACACAUGCAAGUCGAACGGAAAGGCCMRWGCUUGCWYKGGUACUCGAGUGGCGAACGGGUGAGUAACACGUGGGUGAUCUGCCCCGCACUUCGGGAUAAGCCUGGGAAACUGGGUCUAAUACCGGAUAGGACCACUUCUUGGAGGUUGUGGUGGAAAGUUUUUUCGGUGUGGGAUGAGCUCGCGGCCUAUCAGCUUGUUGGUGGGGUAAUGGCCUACCAAGGCGUCGACGGGUAGCCGGCCUGAGAGGGUGUACGGCCACAUUGGGACUGAGAUACGGCCCAGACUCCUACGGGAGGCAGCAGUGGGGAAUAUUGCACAAUGGGCGCAAGCCUGAUGCAGCGACGCCGCGUGGGGGAUGACGGCCUUCGGGUUGUAAACUCCUUUCGCUAGGGACGAAGCGCAAGUGACGGUACCUAGAGAAGAAGCACCGGCUAACUACGU
rnacentral:rRNA from 1 species